ensembl:lncRNA
GCUGGGUGUUGGAGCGAUAGGACAGAGGCCAACGCAGUCCAAGGAGAGCGUGUUGAACUACCAGGAAGCCCUGAGACAACAGAGGAACAGGAAACCAAUGACUCAGAUUAGUGACAGACUGCAAUAUUUUGACGGGAAGAGAUCAGGCGAGAGCGAAGUCAGCACUUUUCCAAGAUCCAGGAAAGAAAGGAGCGAUAAAGACAGGAGAGGAGGAAGAGGGAUUGCUACGAUGCCAAGAUCGAGGCAGAAAUGAAGGUCUAUGACCCUUGGGGAAGGGGGAUGUGGGGCCCUUCUCAGAGAUGACAGGGGAAACCUCAUCAGUACACCAUUGUUGAUUUACUCCAUAGUCAUUAGUCCUCUUUAGUUACUCUCUCUGUUCACUUUAUAGUGACUGUAAAACCAAAAUGAUAACUUCUCUGAAUUUUACUAUGACACCUUUGGUUUCAGUCCCUUUGUUAAGUCUAAACCUCUGGGUUAUUUCUCUGUCAACAUCUCUGGCCCUGGUAUGAAGAGGCAUUGUAGCUGAAUCUGUGAGUCACCACUACGUUGAAAGUGUCUCUGUAGCUGAUGACGAUGCCUCCAGGUGAUCUGAACAGAAUGCACAGGACCAAGGAGGAGGAGUACGUGAACCCAGAGUCCAGGGACAGGUGACAGCCACAGGGCUCUGUAGGCAGGAGUGGAGGACCUAACCCCAGGCAGGAGGACUGGGUACCCUCUACCCAGCGAGUAACAGCUGUCCCAGUUUGCCGGAGGCAACGUGUUCAGUGAUCAGGACACUCCACAGCAGCUCCAGGAGCAGGACACGUUCAAGCAGAGAGCCAGAAGGAUCCUUCCCCUCCUAACCCAGACAUGCAGAAGAGACUGGGCAAGCAGCUCCUUACUCCCAGACCUCUCUCUGCUGUCAGCCAGCUCUCCUCUAGGCCCAGGCACUUGACUGUGUCGAACAUCCACAGGCCCAGGCGCUAUAGCUUUAUUCUGACUCCGCUUUCAUCCCUGGAACUAUACACUCACUGUCGGUGUACGGUUGUGAACUUAACAUGCAUAUUUUAUAGUGGUGACUGUGGCGUGUUUUGAGGUGUUGGAUCAUGUUCCAUACUGUUGUGCUGUGCCCAGGUGUAGAGGGCACCCCAAUGGGGACAUGUUUGAGAUGGCACACCACCCAACUCUGGAGUAGCUGCUGUGGCUGUUCACGUCAACAUGCAGAACACCAGGGAGUUCAACCAGCUCAAAUACAGAGGUAUGACAAUGACAGUCUUUAUGCUAUUAAAAACAAUAAACUGUUUUAAGUGAGAAGUAGGCAUCAGCCUGAAGGAAAUUCACAUGAGCAUCACCAUGCCUACUACACCAAUGCUCGACCAAGGUUUUACAGCACACAGCUUUGAAGUCCAGACCCUGGACAUUAAUAACUGGACAUGAAUCUUCUCCCUCCAUUCUUCUCAUUCUCGCCCUCGCCCAGAUCAAAUAUAGAGAUGAAUUGACACCACCAUCCCAUGCAUUUAAAGACCUAUACCCAAUUUAUGAGUCCCUCUUUUCAUUGGCAAUGUCAUAUUUUUCUAGAAGAAUAACUAUGAUCCAUUCCUGUUCAGUUUGGCCGGAUGUGCAGCCCUCAUCAAGCCCCUCUGUCUCCUCUCCUCUUUGCCAUGGCAUUACUCUGAUGAGGUCAUGGGGCGACUCAUCAUUAAAGCCAUCCAUCAGUAACGGACAGUUUGGCAACGUAAACACAGGGCUGAAACUAAGGAAAUUGACUUUGAAUGGAUUCCUAGUACUGAGUUUAUGUUUGGGUCCAGAGAACACUUCCGACACGCAAACAUACAAAAACGGGGUUAGAAAAGUGGGAGAUAUAGAAGGCGUGUGUACACUGCAGGGUGAAGACAACACUGUAUGCCUGUGUGUUGAGUACACUACAGUGAGCGGACACACAUUGCUUUUGCCUGUGAGCAGAUCGUCUCUUGCUUCCAUUACUAUAGCUCACCAGAGGCCUACCUCUUCCUGUCCCUUGCGGAGGAAGAAGUCUUGUCCUCUCUGCUUGUCUAUGUUCCUCCUAGUCCAUCUGUAGCUCAGUGUUUAGACUGCAGAGUAGCUGAGUCACCAUGGCCUUGGCUCAGUCAGUAUUGACUGAUAGAGGAGGGGAGGGGUUGACAAUAGGAUUAGGUCUAGAUGCUCUUCACCCCCAUAUAAGGUCAGUGUCGAUUAUCAAUUUAAUCUUGGCCACAGCUGAACUAGUCCUGUAAGUGCACAUCACUCCCCCCUGGCUUAGCCUCUCAUCAUAAUGAGCGCUGGCCAGAGAGUCCCUCUGAUUGGCUGGUGUGGGAGGAAAUCCACUAUGAUAGGCUAAUCUGGGCCCAUCUGUACCUCUCUGGCAACAUUAGAGCUGUAUCAGUACACAUGACUACCGCAGCACUCACUGCCUGACAUCUGUGUCAUGGUGAGGAUGUGGUAAUCCUCGAUGCAGGGACUGAGUUGUGUGUGUAACAGACAGCACAUCACAUCAGGAGGUGCAUCACGUGUGCCCCCCCCCACCCCACCAGUGACAAACACAGUCUGGACAUCCAGCAGGCUCUGCUCAGGGAGCAACAACGCAAGAUCAGGAUCAUGAGGAGUCAGGUCAGACACACACUGUCUAACUCAUCUAACUUGAUUUUUAUAGGUGUCUGACGGUCUGUGUUGAUCCUCUCAGAGUGAGAAAACAAUCUGAGACCACCAAAGAGUCUCUUUAUUGGAGUCAGAGAGUGCUGUUAUUGGUGAGCCUGCUGGUCAAACAGCCUCAACACGACUUGAGUCAGUGACAGAAAAAUUGUCCCCCUGAGGAUAUGCUUACUGGAAGGAAUGAAUAGUAAUACAUUAUUACACUGAGGUGGAUAUGGGACACACACACACACACACUGCAGCCAACUGAGGGGAGGGAGGGUCAUUGGGCACCCUCUGGGUGCCUGCCAGUGCCAACACGACAUAGGCCAAGCCAUGGCGCCCACACAGCUGGUAGUAGUCCUGACAGAGCAGAAAGCCUGUGCCAGCUGCAGGGUGGUAGUAGCAUGGCCUUGGUCCGGCUGAAGGGGGAGGGAGGAGAGCAGGCAGGGAAUGUGUAUCUGAGAGUCUACCGCACAAUGCAGAAAACACUUUUUUUUUUUUAAAUGAUAUUACUGUAGAAUAACAUGAGAAGAUUGGAUAAAAUAUAAACAUAAUAUACCUCCAAUAUUGCUAUGCCUUAGUAUUUUAGUACGGCGUAGCAUUUUUAUUAGUUAAGGUUAGGAGAAAGAGACAUCAUCCCACCUUGCCUGUUAGGUGAUGUAUUGUAAAUGUGUUACAGUGUUACGUCCUCAGACGUAUGCAGGGUCCCCGUCCCAAGGGCCAGGGCAGCCCAGGUUGACCUGAGGUCCAGACAGCCCUCAGCCCGGGAGAGGAGAAGGCCUGCCAGAAGGAGAGACUUUGAGGAUGAGAAGGGCCUGUUGCUUCAGUUGAGUCAUCAUCACAUAAUUACAGUGCCACUUCAACAGUCCAUUAAUGUCCUCAAUCUGAGAAGGGCCAUGGGGAAACGUGUCUGAUAAUACACAACAGUCCCUCUUUUUUUAGGCAUUAGAAUGUCUUACAGGAUUUAUGAAAAACAAUGGCCAGUACACAUUUUCUCUGUAGUCUGUACUAACCCGUUCUGCUGUACUGACAGAUGUUUCCAUUCUGUGGCCCAGAACAUGGUGACUGCUGGUUGUCAGAGGGAUGACAAGGGCCAACCGGAUGCCUAGUCUCUGUUCUCUGUGACAAGCCUGCACGUGGAGGGGACCGCACGUACAGGCUUGUGAUAGAAUGACAAGGGGGGCUGUCAGCCGAUGAAGGGGAUGACCUCUCACUGCGGUCCACCCCGUACUACCCGGUCAGGCGUGUGUCCAUGGAGACUGUUGGCACAGAGCGCUGGCUACGGCCCAGCACGUCAGACACGCUGAAAUUGUUUGGGGCUGGUCAGAACCGGACAGAAACCCGUUACCCACAUCCUGGAUGGGAAGUGGGAUGGGCCCUCCACCUAACAUGGAUGACCCCUUUCAUCUACACAUAGGAUCCCAUUCCCUUCACAGCUUAUUACUUUUGACUAGAGUUUGAGGUCUAUAUUUUAUAUGCAGUCGAUCCCCAAUACAAAUGACAAAAUUAACAUGGUCUAUUUCUGUGUCUGCAUCAGGAGAGCAAAAAACAUCCAUAUUUGUGUUUUUAUGCAGAAAAACACCUGAAUGUUGCUUAUGCAUGUGCGAAUUGUUUAAUCAGAAACCAGGGCAAACGUCAAAUGGAGAUGAGGUAGUAGCAGAGAUAUUUCAGUCUCUGUGUACAACAGCUCCACGUAGUGAGUAGGAUCAGGGCAGCGUCAGAGAGCGGGGAAAAUCUAAAUUGUAGACUUCUUGCGUCCUCUCUCUUUGCCUCCUUCAAAAGAGAAUGUUUGAGGGGCGGGACAUCUGGCUUUCUCAUCCAAUGGGUUUUGAGAAGGAGACAGGAUGUGAGGAGUGUGCAAUUGAGACGGUCCAAGUCUGCUUGGAUAAGUGUGCAGCUAGUACACAGUGAAGAAUUACUGUCCCUGAGCUGCAUCACUCUCACUGCUGUGUGAUAUGGCUACAGCUGCAGGACUACGGUAUGGAAGAAGUAUAGGCUCUGGUCUGCUGAUGGAAGUAACUAUGGUAACCUUUUGACUGGUUUGGUCUGCUGGUGUAAGCAACUAUGGUAACCUUUUGAAUGUACUUUUGCAGAAUUAAUAUGUAUUUAAAACAUGCGAAAUGUGUAUCUGGUGUUGAAAUGUUUGUAUGUAGCAAGAAAAUGUGUGUUAAUAUACAGUAUAGAAAGAUUUGGGGUAAAAAAUAAAUAAUGUUUUUAUAAUCUU